rnacentral:rRNA from 1 species
AACGAACGCUGGCGGCAUGCCUAACACAUGCAAGUCGAACGAUGGUCUUCGGAUCAUAGUGGCGCACGGGUGCGUAACGCGUGGGAAUCUGCCCUUGGGUUCGGAAUAACAGUUGGAAACGACUGCUAAUACCGGAUGAUGUCGAUAAGACCAAAGAUUUAUCGCCCGAGGAUGAGCCCGCGUCGGAUUCGCUAGUUGGUGGGGUAACGGCCUACCAAGGCGACGAUCCGUAGCUGGUCUGAGAGGAUGAUCAGCCACACUGGGACUGAGACACGGCCCAGACUCCUACGGGAGGCAGCAGUGGGGAAUAUAGGACAAGGGGCGCAAGCAUGAUCCAGCAAUGCCGCGUGAGUGAUGAAGGCCUUAGGGUUGUAAAGCUCUUUUACCCGGGAAGAUAAUGACUGUAACGGGAGAAUAAGCCCCGGCUAACUACGUG